rfam:Pseudomonas sp. TW4, complete genome.
UGCAAUGGCGGCUGUGCGUGGGAGACCUUCGGGUCUGCCGGGUUCCUGUAUCUCCGGUUUAUCAGCCCGCGCAUAGCUGCCACCCAU